CUUGAGCGAGCCCAGCAGCAGCGGGCGGCCGGCCGGGCGGCCCUGGCCGUAGGUGGCCAGCAGGGCCUGCGCCUC
rnacentral:antisense_RNA from 1 species